AUUUGGAACUUACCCAGCCAAUGCAGGGAAGACAAUGGAAGGGAACUGCUAUUAGUCUAGGACAGGGUUUCUCAGCCUCACACUCCGACAUUUGAGCUGGAUAAUGUUGUAGGGGCUGUCCUGUGCAUUAAAGGAUGUUUAGCCAGCAUCCCCAGUUUCUACCCACUAGAUUCCAGUAGCACUCCCCACCUCCAGUUGUAAUAAUAAAAAAAGUCUCUAGACAUUGCCAAAUGUCCCCGGGGUCAAAAUCAGCUGUUGAGAAUCAACCACUGGUCUAGGGCAGUGGCUUAUUGACACCCUAUGUGGGACAAUUCUA
rnacentral:lncRNA from 1 species